CUGUCAAUCCACUAAGAUGCGUA
rnacentral:siRNA from 1 species